CGGGGUGUGGCUCAGUUGGUCUAGAGCGUCGGGCUGGGGGUCCGAAGAUCAGCGGUUCGAAUCCGCUCACCCCGA
rnacentral:tRNA from 1 species